CAAGCACCCAGCUACAUUGAAAAGCUGGGCAGAGCCAGACAUGGGGAUGCAUACUUAUAAUCCCAGCUACUGGAAAGGCAGAAGCAGGUGGAUCUCGAGUCCAAACCCAGCCUUGCCAACUUAGGGAGAAUGUCUCAAUAAAAAAUAACAACGGCUGAGGAUGUAGCUUAGUGGUAGUGGUAAGUGACCCUGGAUUCAAUCCCCAGUACCACACACACACACGUGCAGUUAGAUGAACCAUCCUGGGAGGCCACAGGCUUCCCCAGGGCAUUGGCAGUGGACUCCCAUUGCACCCAACCUUUCAGGACCACCUCUGGCUCGAUUCAGUGAGAUGCACCUGCCCCCAGGUGACUCACGAGCACACCAGGCUCGCCACGAGAGGGGAAGCUGCCAUUCCCAAUGCAGCAGGUUGCCAGUACAUUUAUGACUUGGGAUCACGAAUCCUUAAAUCACCUGCAUGCCCUUGUAAGCAUGAUCAUAGAUCAGCUUGGAAGAGGCCUUGCUGCAGGUGUCUUGGCAAACCCUGGUCAAAGCUAGGAACCACGAGACCAAGGAACUCUAGCAGCUGCACUGGUCCCCAGGAAGCAACGAGAUGCUCUGGACAAGGAAGAUGUGAGUGCAAAUCGAUGAUAAUCUAAGCCUUGGUGGGGAUUUACUGAACCGUAGGUUGCUGCUGCCAGUACAGUAGCUUUGUACCUCUGGGUAGGGACUGCAAGGGACCCUCGGGACCUGCCAUGAGCAAUUCCAGACUCGUGUCCGAGGUCAUCCAGGGAGACCCAGACGUCUGCUAGAUGCAGGAUGUCUUCAGCUGAUGUGAUCUUGCCCUUGAGGAUCACAGCAUCACGGGAUCAUGAAGGCCUCAGCAGCCCUAAUCAAAAUUUAAUUGUGAAAUGAUUUUUCCCCAGAACUAUGCAGAAUGGCUCCCGACAGGUGCCCAUAGGGACCCCUUUCUCACGAUGCCCUUUCUUUCUCUGGGACCUGUGUUUCCAGCAGGGCAGCUGAGCUCACAUAUCUGCAGAGCUGGUGGAAGAGUUUCCAUAGCUCUGUUUCUGCCAAACGUGGUGGAAGUUUAUGCUUUCCCACUCCCACCAACCAACAUCCUCCCGGGGCCCAGCACGCCAGGCUGGGUGAGGAACCUGCCUGAUCUCACCAAGUCAGGAAUAGUCGUCCAGAUCUGUGAUCCCAGCUCUUUGGGAGGCUGAGGCCGGAGGAUUGAAAGUCCAAGGGUGGCUUG
rnacentral:lncRNA from 1 species